UCAAGCGUGAGGUAAGAGCAUUUGGUGGAUGCCUUGGCAUGUACAGGCGAUGAAGGACGUGGCACGCUGCGAUAAGCGUGGGGGAGCUGUGAGCAAGCUUUGAUCCCGCGAUUUCCGAAUGGGGAAACCCACCCUCACCAUUUCAUUUCGCUGCUGGUUCGCCAGUGUCGGAAUGAGGUGGAUAGGGUAUCACCUUGGUGAAUAAAAUAGCCUUGGUGAAGCGAACCCGGAGAACUGAAACAUCUCAGUACCCGGAGGAAAAGACAUCAACCGAGAUUCCGUUAGUAGUGGCGAGCGAACGCGGACCAGGCCAGUGCCUGAUGUUGAGUUAGCAGAACAUUCUGGAAAGUUUGACCAUAGCGGGUGACAGUCCCGUAUGCGAAAGCGAAACAUCAGGACUUGAGUAGGGCGGGACACGUGAAAUCCUGUCUGAACAUGGGGGGACCACCCUCCAAGCCUAAGUACUCCUCAUCGACCGAUAGUGAACCAGUACCGUGAGGGAAAGGUGAAAAGCACCCCGAUGAGGGGAGUGAAACAGUACCUGAAACCGAAUGCUUACAAUCAGUUGGAGGGUCCUUGAGGCCUGACAGCGUACCUCUUGUAUAAUGGGUCAGUGACUUAAUCUAUCAAGCGAGCUUAAGCCGUUAGGUGUAGGCGCAGCGAAAGCGAGUCUGAACAGGGCGACUGAGUUUGAUGGAUUAGACCCGAAACCCGGCGAUCUAGGCAUGACCAGGCUGAAGGUGCGGUAACACGCACUGGAGGGCCGAACCGUUUAAUGUUGAAAAAUUAUCGGAUGAGUUGUGUUUAGGGGUGAAAGGCCAAUCAAGCCGGGAAAUAGCUGGUUCUCCGCGAAAUCUAUUUAGGUAGAGCGUCGGAUGUUUACCUGUGGGGGUAGAGCACUGGAUGGGCUAGGGGGUCGCGAGAUCUACCAAACCUAACCAAACUCCGAAUACCACAGAGUUAGUCCGGCAGACAGACGGCGGGUGCUAAGGUCCGUCGUCAAAAGGGAAACAGCCCUAACCUACAGCUAAGGUCCCCAAAUCGUAUCUAAGUGGGAAAGCAUGUGGGAUUUCCAAAACAACCAGGAGGUUGGCUUAGAAGCAGCCAUCCUUUAAAGAAAGCGUAACAGCUCACUGGUCUAAAUAAGAGAUCCUGCGGCGAAAAUGUAACGGGGCUCAAGAUACGUACCGAAGCUUAGGGUGUGCAUUUAUGCACGCGGUAGCGGAGCGUUCCGUAAGCCUGUGAAGCGGGAGGGUAACCGACCGUGGAGGUAUCGGAAGUGAGAAUGCUGACAUGAGUAGCGAUAAAGAGGGUGAGAUGCCCUCUCGCCGAAAUCCCAAGGGUUCCUGCUUAAAGCUAAUCUGAGCAGGGUGAGCCGGCCCCUAAGACGAGCCCGAAGGGGGUAGUCGAUGGGAACCACGUUAAUAUUCGUGGGCCUGGAGGUGUGUGACGGAUGGCGUAAGUUGUCAGACCUUAUUGGAUUGGUCUGGCUUCGAAGUUGUCCCAGGAAAUAGCCCCUCCGUAUAGACCGUACCCUAAACCGACACAGGUGGGAUGGUAGAGUAUACCAAGGCGCUUGAGAGAAGUGUACUGAAGGAACUCGGCAAAUUACCUCCGUAACUUCGGGAGAAGGAGGCCCCACAUAUGGGCAACCAUGUGUGGGGGGCACAAGCCAGGGGGUAGCGACUGUUUAGCAAAAACACAGGACUCUGCUAAGUCGGCUUCAAGACGACGUAUAGGGUCUGACGCCUGCCCGGUGCUGGAAGGUUAAGAGGAGGAGUGCAAGCUCUGAAUUGAAGCCCCAGUAAACGGCGGCCGUAACAAUAACGGUCCUAAGGUAGCGAAAUUCCUUGUCGGGUAAGUUCCGACCCGCACGAAAGGCGUAACGAUUUGGGUACUGUCUCAGAGAGAGACUCGGCGAAAUAGACUUGUCUGUGAAGAUGCGGACUACCUGCACCUGGACAGAAAGACCCUAUGAAGCUUUACUGUAACUUGGAAUUGAGUUUGGGCUUUUCUUGCGCAGUAUAGGUGGGAGGCUAAGAAAAUAAGUUUGCGGAUUUAUUAGAGCCAUCAGUGAGAUACCACUCUAGGAAAGCUAAAAUUCUAACCUUGAAAGCCGUUAACCGGCCAAGGAACAGUUUCAGGCGGGCAGUUUGACUGGGGCGGUCGCCUCCUAAAAAGUAACGGAGGCGUGCAAAGGUUCCCUCAGGCUGGUUGGAAAUCAGUCGUAGAGUGUAAAGGCAUAAGGGAGCUUGACUGCAAGACCUACAAGUCGAGCAGAGACGAAAGUCGGCCUUAGUGAUCCGACAGUACCGAGUGGAAGGGCUGUCGCUCAACGGAUAAAAGUUA
rnacentral:rRNA from 1 species